GCUUUGAGAAUAAGGAACUAAUUGGCUGCGAACAGUUUCAGUCUAAUGACCUCUUACCAGAAGCUCAACAGUGCAUUAAGGUUUAUACCCGGGGUUGGUUAGAUUAGUUUCAAUUUCAGGUAGUGGGUAUCUAUCCAAUUACUCUCCUCCUCCUCGCUAGGAGUAGAGCACAUGGCAUUCCUUCUGCUACUGGAUGUGCUAAGCAGCAUGCGAGUUGGCAACUUGGGCUGAAAAGCAAAUUAGCAUUAUGCAAACUGCAGGAUUCUGGCACUCACAUUAGGAUCACUGAUCUGGCAAGAAAUCCUGCCAAGCUACCAAGCUUUCCUGAGCCCAGGGAGAGCUGCAAACCCUAAUCCAAGAGACCAGCUGACAAUAACAAAACAAAAAGAGAUUGCGGGGGAGGGGGAACAAAUCUUAAUUGUCUGGGAGGAUACUGGUGGGAGCUUGGAGGUGGAUUUCCUACAGAGACCUGACUCCUGUAUUGCAGUGAAGAAAUACAGAUAGAAAGGGGCAGCUGCUGCAGGAGUGGCAGACGACAGCAGGGCAGUAAUACCUUAAAGCACUUCAGCCGGAUUCAUCAGAAUUCAUCUGUCUUCAGGGCUUUUUUAAGGCAUUCACUGGUCACAUUGUUUUUCUCCUUCGGAGCUUUCACUUUGAUGUGUUGGCUUGGACUGCUGGAGGAAAUGUUGUGGACCAGAAAAGAAGCAUUGCUGUGGUCCAGCUUCACUGUAAACAGCAGGUGCAACAGCUGCUGCAGGAAAGCCACUCGUUUUCCUGCUCUUUCUCGGGGAUGAAAGAGGGGGAUGUAGCAACUUAUUUUUCUGGAAAAUCUGAGACAUAGGAAACAAAAAUAAAGACACAGUUUGAAGUGUUUCCUUUAUUUGU
rnacentral:lncRNA from 1 species